GACAAACGCUGGCGGCAUGCUUAACACAUGCAAGUCGAACGAAGUGGCGAACGGGUGAGUAACGCGUAAUCAACCUGCCCUUCAGAGGGGGUCAACAGUUGGAAACGACUGCUAAUACCGCAAACGGAAGGGGGGGAUGGCGUCGGAUUAGCUAAUUGGGGGGGUAAAGGCCCACCAAGGCGAGGAUCAGUAGCCGGUCUGGAAGGUUGAACGGCCACUGUGGGACUUAGACAAGGCCCCGACCCCUAAGGGCGGCAGCAGGGGGGAAACUUCCGACAUGGAAGGAAGUCUGACGGAGCACCGCCGCGUGAGUGAUGACGGCCUUUGGGUUGUAAAGCUCUGUUAAUCGGGAAGCGGUACCGGAAUAGAAAGCCACGGCUAACUACGUGCCAGCAGCCGCGGUAAUAC
rnacentral:rRNA from 1 species